rnacentral:rRNA from 1 species
CGAGUGGCGGACGGGUGAGUAAUGUCUGGGAAACUGCCCGAUGGAGGGGGAUAACUACUGGAAACGGUAGCUAAUACCGCAUAACGUCGCAAGACCAAAGAGGGGGACCUUCGGGCCUCUUGCCAUCGGAUGUGCCCAGAUGGGAUUAGCUAGUAGGUGGGGUAAAGGCUCACCUAGGCGACGAUCCCUAGCUGGUCUGAGAGGAUGACCAGCCACACUGGAACUGAGACACGGUCCGG